GGCGGGUUGGCAGAAUGGCUAUGCAGCGGAUUGCAAAUCCGUGGAUCUCGGUUCGACUCCGGGACCCGCCUCCA
rnacentral:tRNA from 56 species